UCUUCGCUGAGAGCGUCGGCAACGAGGUCGAAAUUACCACGGUGAGCCUUUAUUUCGUCGCGAACGCGCGAGGGGGUACCUAUAAGAGCGGCGAGACACGACGGAGAGUGGAAAGUUUUGACGCCACCCUAUAAAUCAAGCCGCGGGUUCGCUCGGCCGAAACGUUGCACGGUCUCACCCCGGUUCUCCAGAGUUUCGCUCACCGUAUGUCUCCUUCGCCUCUCGGCACAGACAGCUUGUACAAGGUGAGUCAAAAAUUCCAACAGUUCCACCCCGCCUCCUCCACCACCUUUUCAUGCUACGGCUUCAACCCAUCCCUAUCUCCAUCCCCCAGGCCGUCCAGCUGCCUUGACUUUGAAAUAAUUACCCCGGAGUUAAUUUAUGUCGCGUUCAGGGAACGACGAUGCGAUUUUUUUCCGAAUUAACACGCCUCUAUGCUCUGGAAAAAUUGCACCACUCACCCUUAGAGGGGAAUCGCGUGAAGCGUGAAUAAUAUAAGAAAUGGUUAAUUACGUAUUACACGUGAUUUGCUUUCUAACUUUGUUUACGAGUUUCAUCGGAUAUUGAAGUUUCAUAUUCGUUUUGUUAUACAGAGAACAAUGUAUCAUUGUUUCUUAUAUAUGUCGUUGUUGUAAGAAGUUUGAAUUGGAAAUAUGAAAGAGAGGAAUUUGUAGCGAAUGAAGAAGAACGUAUAGCAAUAUUAAUCUUGUCGAGGUUGAGGUUAGGUUGGUAGGUUAGAUUCCUGAUAGAGGAACCAGUGGAUGAAUUUGUAAUAGAAAAAUAUAUUGAAAUAAGUACAAGUACAGGUACAGUAUAUGAGAUCAAAAUUAAAUAAAUUGUUGUCAUUAUUUAUUGAUUUAAUGUGUGAUAUUGUUGAGGUUGACUGAUAGAGGAACCAGUGGAUGAAUUUGUAAUAGGAAAAUAUAUUGAAACAAGUACAAUUGCAGGUAUAGUGUAUAAGAUGAAAAUUAAAUAAAUUGUCAUUAUUAUUUAUUAAUUUAAUGUGUGAUAUUGUUGAGGUUGACUGACAGUCAAGCAAGUGGAUAAAUUUGUAAUAGAAAAAUGUAUUGAAAUAAGUACAAGUGCAGGUACAGUAUAUGAGAUCAAAAUUAAAUAAAUUGUCAUUAUUUAUUAAUUUAAUGUGUGAUAUUGUUGAGGUUGACUGAUAGAGGAACCAGUGGAUGAAUUUGUAAUAGAAAAAUGUAUUGAAAUAAGUACAAGUGCAGGUAUGGUGUAUGUUGAUCCAGAUCCUCACUCCUUCAGUGUUACAAUACAAAAGAAUGUAACAGGGAACACGUUGAUAUAUUUAUAGCAAAAGACAUUACCAAAAUGUUAACUUUGUUGUGCAGCUGUAGCUGAAGGUUACAAGGAACAGCAAUGGAAAUCUACUUAUAGCUGUUUUGUUUCUAGACCUUGUAACAAGGUUACAAUAAUAUGCACCUCCUUAUUUUGAAUCUUUUUGCUUCACUAAAUUCUAUUCUGUUUGUAACAGUGUCUGCAGGUCACGGGUAUACAAAAGAAAAUGUGUAGAGUUUUUCUUGAAGUAAUUAUACUUCUACACUUAUAUAUGUUGUUAUUGUAAGAAGCUUGAAUUGGAAACAUGAAAGAGAGGAAUUUAUAGCGAAUGAAGAAGAGCGUAUAGCAAUAUUAAUCCUAGUACGGACAACUAAAAACCCGAGUUACCUUUUAUAUUUAUAAAUAAAAGCGUGAAAUAUUACAUUUUCAAGCUUAACAUUUUAGUUACUUGCAUAAGGAUUAACUACGUUCCAUCUUAUCUGAUGUUUCCUUGCUGCAACGUCGUUCCCCAGAAAUUUACAGAGAUAUGAGACAGUUUACCUUUAAUUGUAGUCCAUUAACUUAAAUUUACUACACUUACACUUAAACCGAUAAAGCUGUAGUACAAUUCACAUCAAAGAGACAUCGACAUUUUCUUCACUUUGCCACGACUUGUCAAGAGUAACAAGAACCUGCAAUCAUCGACAAUUCUCUACAAGCUGUCCUUCAUUAUUUUCAAUUCUCGCGCAAUUUUCAAGAUCACGCACGAUUAAUAAAACAUGAAAACAAAUCGCUGUAUUUAUAGCGUUGCCAAUCUCAUCAAAUUUACACGCAAUAAGAAUCACGUUCGUUCAUUGUAAGAAAGAAAAAAAAUAGAAAAAAAGAGGAUACAUUGUUGCAAAAUAAGUAAAUGCAAAUUUCGCUGGUUGUGGCAAACUUCUAUACAGCGGCGGACGAGCCAGAGAUAUCGCGCCACGAUAAUCGCGCAAAUGUCCGGCGCAGAGGUAACAUUUAACUCUUACAUAUGUCGCGCUCGUGUUCAGUGUAACGGUAUGCGUACAACACUCCUGUACACAUUGCUGCCUGGCUACAGAUAUUAUACAAUUAACAGAUAUAAUUAGCAAAUGGUGAGCUGGCUAUCUUGAAUCGCGUUGGAACGAGAGCGCGCUUUAACAUUGAGAUCGAAUUUCGUCGAAGGGAAACACCGUAGGGUCGCAGAACAUUUCAUGGUCCUCCGUGAAACGUGCAACGUGCAAUAAUAAAUAAAAAUAUACAAAUUUGGCGUAUAAACGAAAUAACUAACAUCUAAAUAUUUUAUAAUAUUUUAUUGUUUAUUGGACUGAUGAAAGAGGAAUACAGAGAACAAAUGUGUAUUGAUCAUCAAUGUGAGAUCUAUGUACAGUGAAGAGCAUCAAAUAGAGGCAAUUGUUGUAUAAAAUUCAACUUGAUUUAAUUAACCAAUUUUUUCACCAAGUUAUCAAAAGGAAAGGUAAUUUUUCUCUCUUGUUUUGAAAAAUUGACGAAACUCAGACUGAAAGGUAUGUUAGAAUUUUGGGAGAAAUUUUCUGCAACCUAAAACUCAAAGAAUUUCUACACGAUUUCUACUUUACAUGGACUAUCAAUAAGCGUUAGCAUUUGACACUAGAAUUUACGAUUUCAUUCCAGGUAUCCAUCCUGCCAACUACAUCUCCACGAGAUAAACUCAGGUAUCUCAUCCCCCGGAGAAACUCCACGAAAGAUCAGACCACCCUGCGACGUCCCUUACACUAACUAGCAACGAAGUGGCCUAUCCCAAAGGAACCGGCGAUAAUCGAAAGAAAACCGAACUAGGGUCUACUACCCUCUAUUCCACUAUAGACAGGCUUCUGUCCGUGCCUUGCCCGUAGGAAAUACGUUUCCGGUAGCUUGUCCGGCUGUCCGUAGGAGUCGCAUGACAGAUAGAAAGGAGCAUGGAACACAGAAGGGGAGAGGAAGAGACAGAGAAAACCGAUAGAGUGGCCAGCAAGCAAGAAAAGGAAGAUAUUGGGAGGAGUAGCGGCGAUGGGGCAGGGUGAGAAGCGAGGAUUCGGCGGAGUGGUUGGUUCAGGGGUUGGUAUUGGAUGCUGCCUCGGCGAAGCUCACGGUAGGGGUAGUUUGACAAGUUGACAAGAGCACAAAGGUCGUGGCGGAGCCGCAAGAGACGUGGAAGGGGUGGAAGGGCGAGGGCUGCACGUAGCGGAGCCUAGAAAAGAGGAGUGUGGGAAGAGGAGGCGUCGCGAUGCUCAGCGUCCGACGGAGGGUUACCGGAUAGGGUAGUAGGGGGUUGAAAGCCCGGUAGAUUCAACGCCGUGAACAAAGGCCGGCUGGCUUCGCCCCGCUGCCUACUCUCGGACUUUGGAAACGAGAUCGCAUACACACACGCCACGGGUACCGCGUGCCUACCUCUUCUGUGUGCGUGUGUUCUAUUAGUGUGCGUCUGUAUGCGUGUGAGAACGCCACGAACCGUGUGCACCAUCGGUAGGUAUAUACCGCCCAGAAGGGGAGUUAGAGUUUGCUCGCUCGACCCGAUAGAUACGAGCGAGCCGGGCCUAAUAUCGAAAGUUCCUGGCUCGAGCUGAAACCGUGCUUAAUUAAAUCGGAAGGCCGUGAGAGAUAACCGGCGCGUCCCUCCUACGAUGCUCGACGAGAGCGUCUGGAAAACACCCGUGUACUAUGGAUGGGGUUCAUGACGUGGCAAGAAUGCAGCGGGGAAAUUUGUCGCAGCGAAGAACCGAUAUACGGUGGACCGUCGGUGGCGAUUAGAGCCGUCUGAAGCGUCUAAAUGUGAUCACUCGUUGGGAAAAUUCAACGAUUCCGGUGGUCGUAAUAUCAUUAGCUUCGAAUAGAAUGUUACAGUUUAAAAUUGUGAAUUGGAAAUGGCUAAAUACAAUUUACAUUUCA